GAUGAACGCUGGCGGCGUGCUUAACACAUGCAAGUCGAACGGAAAGGCUCCUGCUUGCAGGGGUACUCGAGUGGCGAACGGGUGAGUAACACGUGGGUGAUCUGCCCUGCACUUCGGGAUAAGCCUGGGAAACUGGGUCUAAUACCGGAUAGGACGAUGGUUUGGAUGCCAUUGUGGAAAGUUUUUUCGGUGUGGGAUGAGCUCGCGGCCUAUCAGCUUGUUGGUGGGGUAGUGGCCUACCAAGGCGUCGACGGGUAGCCGGCCUGAGAGGGUGUACGGCCACAUUGGGACUGAGAUACGGCCCAGACUCCUACGGGAGGCAGCAGUGGGGAAUAUUGCACAAUGGGCGCAAGCCUGAUGCAGCGACGCCGCGUGGGGGAUGACGGCCUUCGGGUUGUAAACUGCUUUCGCUAGGGACGAAGCGCGAGUGACGGUACCUGGAGAAGAAGCACCGGCUAACUACGUG
rnacentral:rRNA from 1 species